rnacentral:rRNA from 1 species
AGUGAACGCUGGCGGUAGGCCUAACACAUGCAAGUCGAACGGCAGCACAGUAAGAGCUUGCUCUUACGGGUGGCGAGUGGCGGACGGGUGAGGAAUACAUCGGGAUCUACUUUUUCGUGGGGGAUAACGUAGGGAAACUUACGCUAAUACCGCAUACGACCUACGGGUGAAAGCAGGGGAUCUUCGGACCUUGCGCGAUUGAAUGAGCCGAUGUCGGAUUAGCUAGUUGGCGGGGUAAAGGCCCACCAAGGCGACGAUCCGUAGCUGGUCUGAGAGGAUGAUCAGCCACACUGGAACUGAGACACGGUCCAGACUCCUACGGGAGGCAGCAGUGGGGAAUAUUGGACAAUGGGCGAAAGCCUGAUCCAGCCAUACCGCGUGGGUGAAGAAGGCCUUCGGGUUGUAAAGCCCUUUUGUUGGGAAAGAAAAGCAGCAGGUUAAUACCCCGCUGUUCUGACGGUACCAAAAGAAUAAGCACCGGCUAACUUCGUG